AAGCCUGGUGGGUGGCUUGGGCCGGUCACAGUUUUCUCAGAACUCAUCUCUGCCCCACCUACCUCACAAGGUGUCUGUUGUGGGGAGAGGAAGGGAAAGUCGUUUGUAAGCCACCUUGAGUCUCCUU